rnacentral:rRNA from 1 species
UACGGGGGGGGCAAGCGUUGUUCGGAAUUACUGGGCGUAAAGGGCUCGUAGGCGGCCAACUAAGUCAUACGUGAAAUCCCUCGGCUUAACCGGGGAACUGCGUCUGAUACUGGAUGGCUUGAGUUCGGGAGAGGGAUGCAGAAUUCCAGGUGUAGCGGUGAAAUGCGUAGAUAUCUGGAGGAAUACCGGUGGCGAAGGCGGCAUCCUGGACCGACAUUGACGCUGAGGAGCGAAAGCUAGGGGAGCAAACGGG